rnacentral:lncRNA from 1 species
CAUGACACAGUUAAGAAAAAUAAUGAGGAAAGUGAAUCAUUAGCUACUAUGUCAUAAUGGUACAAAAAGAUUCCAAGUUACUGUCCAUAGGAGGCAAUGAUGCCACGUAAGCAACCUCCCUGCACUCUCCCAGGGGUUCACAGGGAUUGGAAAAACUUGUGGAUCUUCCCCUUUGGAUCUGCCUUGGGAGGUGGUUUGGACUACAGUGUGAUUUAUAUGUGCGGAGUGACAUACACCUGCUUACACACCAGCCUGGUUUGCACACCGGAGUCACGCUGGCUUAAGGUAGGGACAAGAUGCACCUUGGGGUGUCACUGAAGCAAGCACAGAGCUGCGGGAAGUUUGGGGAGAAGUGAGCUCCUGGGAGACUGGAAAAGACAUGGAGGAUGCUGAGCUUGGGUGAGAAAACAGG